GCCCAACAGCUAGCCUACCCUAAAAAAUCAACACCCCCUAUUAAUACCCCCAAAUACACCCCAUGAACAAAACAAAACAUUUUUCCUCCCUAGUACGGGCGACGGAAAAGGAACUAAGAGCAAUAGAGAAAGUACCGCAAGGGAAAGCUGAAAGAGAAAUGAAAUAACCCAGUAAAGCCCAAAAAAGCAGAGAUAUAACCUCGUACUUU
rnacentral:rRNA from 1 species